GACAGAGGGUGCGAACGUUGCUCGGAAUUACUGGGCGUAAAGCGCGUGUAGGCGGGUGAUCAAGUCAGGUGUGAAAUCCCCAGGCUCAACCUGGGAACUGCACUUGAAACUGGUCGCCUUGAGUGUUGGAGAGGGAAGCGGAAUUCCUGGUGUAGAGGUGAAAUUCGUAGAUAUCAGGAGGAACACCGGUGGCGAAGGCGGGUCUCUGGGCCGAUACUGACGCUGAGGAGCGAAAGCGUGGGGAGCGAACAGG
rnacentral:rRNA from 1 species